GCACAAGCGGUGGAGCAUGUGGUUCAAUUCGAAGCAACGCGCAGAACCUUACCAGCCCUUGACAUCCCGGUCGCGGAGAGCAGAGACGCACUCCUUCAGUUCGGCUGGACCGGAGACAGGUGGUGCAUGGUUGUCGUCAGCUCGUGUCGUGAGAUGUUGGGUUAAGUCCCGCAACGAGCGCAACCCUCGCCAUUAGUUGCCAUCAUUUAGUUGGGCACUCUAGUGGGACUGCCGGUGAUAAGCCGGAGGAAGGUGGGGAUGACGUCAAGUCAUCAUGGCCCUUACGGGUUGGGCUACACACGUGCUACAAUGGCGGUGACAGUGGGCAGCCACCCAGCAAUGGGGAGCUAAUCACAAAAAGCCGUCUCAGUUCGGAUUGGGGUCUGCAACUCGACCCCAUGAAGUCGGAAUCGCUAGUAAUCGCAGAUCAGCACGCUGCGGUGAAUACGUUCCCGGGC
rnacentral:rRNA from 1 species